UUUCGAUAUAUAAUUAAUAAUUUAAAAUGUUUAUUUUAGGCCCCUGGUAGAUGUUCCAAGUAGACAACAAGGUGGAAUGAUAAUAGAUGAGGUGGUCAACUAUAUCAGUGCUGAUGAAAUUAAGAAAGAUGAAAAUGCAACGUAUGCACGAGUAAACAAACAAAAUAAACCAACAGAAAUAAAACCGAAUCCAGAAUCUCUUUAUGCAACUGUUAAUAAAACUAAAAACGAUGAAACAACGGAGUCUACCAAACCUGAUGUCAAACCUAAACCAUAUGAUAGCAAACCGAACAAAACGGAUACCAAACCGAAAAUAACUGAUGUCAAACCUAAAAUAACAAAUACCAAACCUAAAGUACGGAAUGUUAAAAACAAACAGCCAACAAACGACAAAUCAAAAGGAGAGGCUUUUGAAAAUGUGGGUAUAUUUGGUGACAUCAAUGGAAUUAAUAUAAAUGAAUAUGAAAACCAUUCAAUUAAGCCUGGUCCUACCGAAACUGUUUAUGCCGAUCUAGAUUUUGAUGGUCACCAAUCAACUACAACUGUACGAGGUAAGGACGAUGUUGUAGAAUACAGUGGUAUUGGUUAUACUAAACGUGGACCAACUCAACCAACACCACCAGAUAGUAGUGAUGAAGAUGAUGCUGACAAUCGAGAGUAAGCAACAUUGUUAGCACACCACUCCAACAAUAUUAGGAAUAAUACAAUAUUUUGAAUAAUAAUUCUCUUUUUGGUCUAGUUUCU